GAAUCAACGCUGGCGGCGUGCCUAACACAUGCAAGUCGCACGAGAAAGGGGACUUCGGUUCCUGAGUAAUGUGGCGCACGGGUGAGUAACACGUGAAUCAUCUACCUUCGAGUGGGGAAUAACUGAGAGAAAUCUUAGCUAAUACCGCAUAAUACCUACGGGUCAAAGCAGCAAUGCGCUUGAAGAGGAGUUCGCGGCAGAUUAGUUAGUUGGCGGGGUAAUGGCCCACCAAGACGAUGAUCUGUAUCCGGCCUGAGAGGGCGCACGGACACACUGGAACUGAAACACGGUCCAGACUCCUACGGGAGGCAGCAGUGGGGAAUUUUGCGCAAUGGGGGAAACCCUGACGCAGCAACGCCGCGUGGAGGAUGAAAUCCCUUGGGAUGUAAACUCCUUUCGAUCGGGAAGAUAAUGACGGUACCGAGAGAGGAAGCCCCGGCUAACUUCGUGCCAGCAGCCGCGGUAAUACGAGGGGGGCAAGCGUUGUUCGGAAUUAUUGGGCGUAAAGGGUGCGUAGGCGGUUUGACAAGUCAUCUGUGAAAUCUCUGGGCUCAACCCAGAGUCUGCAGGCGAAACUGUCGGGCUUGAGUAUGGGAGAGGUGAGUGGAAUUUCCGGUGUAGCGGUGAAAUGCGUAGAUAUCGGAAGGAACACCUGUGGCGAAAGCGGCUCACUGGACCAUAACUGACGCUGAUGCACGAAAGCUAGGGGAGCAAACAGGAUUAGAUACCCUGGUAGUCCUAGCCCUAAACGAUGAUUGCUUGAUGUGGAGGGUACCCAAUCCUUCCGUGUCGAAGCUAACGCGAUAAGCAAUCCGCCUGGGGAGUACGGUCGCAAGGCUGA
rnacentral:rRNA from 1 species